rnacentral:tRNA from 1 species
GGGCACAUGGUGUAGUUGGUUUAUCACGCCCGCUUAGCAUUUGCCUUGCCAUUGCGGGAGGUGUUGGGUUCAAUUCCCAAUGUGUCCA